GCCGCCUCCGCCCCCCGGGGAGCUCCAGCCGCUCGCCCGCAGGGCGGGGACGCGGGGUGGGAAAACCCAGCCGGUUCCUUGCAUCACGAGAGCGGGAACCCCCAACCCCCCUUCCCCAGCGCCUGCCCGCCCGCCUGCCCCUUUAUGUCCCCUCCCCGCAAGCCCAGCCAGCGCACGCUGGGGUGUCAGCCCCGGAGCAAGCCAGAGAGCGAGGCCAUAACCAGCUCGGUGCAAUCAGUGGCCGCCGUCUCGCCGAGCGAUAAACGAGUCCAGCGGGAGGAGAGAAAACCAGCUAGGAGCCAGGGGAAAUCAGUCCGCGCCGCUUAGCCUGGCACAUGUGAGCAGCGACAUCCCCUCCCCAGUGUUGGCAGCAUCAGCGGGCUGGGAAGGUGAGGCCGCCCCUAUGCAGGACAGCACUUAAGGAUACCCCUAGAUUUAAGCACCCGAGGAGCCCCAUGGAGGCCGGUACAGAAUGGACAAACAGCAGGUGAGCUGUGUUGUGUGCCAUUCAUUGUUAUAAAACUGGACCUGUGUGCGUGGAGGAAUUACACUGACGUGUGAAAAUAUUUACAGAGAAGUCCUGGCCCCAUUUAAGUCAAUUGGAGCUUUGUCGUUGAGUUCAGUGGGGCCAGGAUUUCACUCUUAAACUGGAAGGGAGGAGCGUCAACCCGACAGAGCAACCCAUGUCUGGAUAAUGCAGGAGAUGUGCCACCCAAGUUACGGAAGUGCUUCUGUGUUGAAUGCAUGGCAUCAAACUGAAAGACAAUUGUUUUGCUGUGGACCUAAUUAUGAGGCUCUCGCCCCAGGCUUGUCUGAGCACAGCGUCCAGCUGGCAUCCUCCUCUGCUUUGGCUUUUGGAGAGGAGAGGGGAGAGCAGCUGCAGAACGGUGCCACUCCUUGAUUCUGGUUUCUUCCUUUGCAACCAUGCCUGUGGACCUUUGACUGCUGAGUCUAAGCACUAAAGGCCUGAUCUAAAGCCCAUUGAAAGCAAUGGAGGGCUUUUCAUUGUCUUCAGUGGGCUUUGGGUUAGGCCCUAAAUGAUCGGUCACUUACUCUUAUUUUCUUCCUUUCUUACCACGGAUAUGCUCUUCACGAGUCAGCAUGGAAGAGAGAAGGCUUGUAAAAAAAAUGAAUUAAGUUGAUCUUUGGCUCUUAAUUUAAUUGACAAAGCUCAUUGUGGAGCAGAUUGAUUGUAUUUCAGAGCAUAUCCUCAAAUGUCAGACCUAAAAAACCCAAAAGCAAUUGAACUAAGUGCAGUUGGCUGUAUGCAGCAUGAACACUCAUUUAGCUUUAGUACUAUAUCUGCCUGAUACUAUUUAAGUUUUGCUUAUGCGAGCAGAUAUCAUAUCUAAUAUAUUUUUCAGACACUACGUGAGCACAAUGAAAAGGGGAGGAAAAAGAGGAUUUGCCACUAAUUUAUUUAUUAUGAUUAUUAUUAUUAUUCUAGGAUUUGUUAGUUCAUAACCACCACUUAAAAUGUAGUAUGGUAAAUUUAAUGCUGGAGAAAGGUUUACAAUCCAGGAAACUGAAGCUGUCCAUUCAGAAGAGGUGCAACAUAGGUUGUGGCAAUGCAAGAUUUCCCCCAGUGCUCCUCCAAUGUGCCCCAAACUGGACCUGGUAGGACAACCUCUAGGGGUAGGAUAGUAGCUCCACAUCCAUAUCCAUCCUGUUCUCAGCCUCAAUGGUGAGUGCCAUUAAGGCUGCCGAUUAGUGCAAUAUUUAUUCAUAGAUUUUAAGGGCAGAAGGGACCAUUAUUACCAUCUAGUCUGAUCUGCAUGACACAGGCCAUAUAUUGGAUUUUGUGGUACGGACACCUGAGCACAGAGAGCUGCACUGAGUACACCAAGUCAUUUGACACAGGCCACCCAAAAGCCAUUGGUCACUCCCUGUGCUGGAUUUGAACUAUCUAUACUACAUAUAUGACCUUAUUACUGUAGUAUCUGAGCACCUCCCAGUCAUGAGGAUAAAUAUGUUAACAACAACCCUGUAAGGUAGAGCAGCGCUAUUAUCCCCAUUGUACAGGUGGGGAACCGAGGUACAGAGAGGCUAAGUGACUUGCCCAAGGUUACCCAAGAAGUCUGUGGCAGAGCAAGGAGUUGACUCCCGGUAUCUUGAGUCCUAAGUUAGUGCCCUAAACAUUGGACCGCCCCUCCUCUCUGCUGCUCUAGCACUGAAAAAUUAUAUUUCCCAUGAUCAGUCACUACAGGUUUGAUUUCCUCCAUUUGGGCUCAAAUUUCCACUGGCCUUUUUUCUACCCAUAUCACCCUGCAAACUCAUGUCUAAUAUACUGCCUAUUAUCAUCAGGAGUUGCUUUCUAUGCAUCCCUCUCCAAAUGAGUAUAUGUGCUUUGGAUUAUUUUUCCCCUGGAUAUAUUUGGUUGAUCAGUUUGAGUCAGUAUUUUAAUGAACAACAAACUUAGUUCCUGUCAUAUACAGGGG